rnacentral:misc_RNA from 1 species
UUAAGUUCAGCGGGUAUCCCUACCUGAUCCGAGGUCAACCUUGAGAAAAGUUUCUCCCUGUGAGGGGAGGUAGACCGUUGCCCGUGGACCCUUGUGUCCAGUACGUGUCCCGUGAAGAACUCAGUGUACCGGGGGUCCAACGAGGCCGCCGUCAUUGUCUUUGGGAGGGGCAGAGGCCGCAAAGCACUCCGCCAAACCGU